AUUGAACGCUGGCGGCAUGCCUUACACAUGCAAGUCGAACGGUAACGGGCCUUCGGGUGCCGACGAGUGGCGAACGGGUGAGUAAUGUAUCGGAACGUACCUUUCAGUGGGGGAUAACGUAGCGAAAGUUACGCUAAUACCGCAUCUUCUGUGCGCAGGAAAGCAGGGGAUCGCAAGACCUUGCGCUGAUUGAGCGGCCGAUAUCAGAUUAGCUAGUUGGUGAGGUAAAGGCUCACCAAGGCUACGAUCUGUAGCGGGUCGGAGAUGAGGAACCGCCACACUGGAACUUGGACACGGUCCAGACUCCUACGGGAGGCAGCAGUGGGGAAUUUUGGACAAUGGGGGCAACCCUGAUCCAGCCAUGCCGCGUGAGUGAAGAAGGCCUUCGGGUUGUAAAGCUCUUUCGGCCGGGAAGAAAUCGUAUCAGCUAAUACCUGGUGCGGAUGACGGUACCGGCAUAAGAAGCACCGGCUAACUACGUGCCAGCCGCCGCCGUAACAC
rnacentral:rRNA from 1 species